GGGGGCGACCUGGCUUCGACGGCGGUUGCAAAGCAAUGCAGUGCAUACCGAGGACCAGUGACCUCGUAAAUCCAUCUGGAAACCAUAUAGUUGCCAACGACGA
rnacentral:tmRNA from 1 species